GAGGAUCAUUUCUGAGACAGGAAGUAAGAAAUGAAACGACAAGUCCGGAUGCAUUUUUAAAAGAGACUGUGACUUCCUGUGAUAAAGGCUGCAUGUCAGAAUGGGAAGCAGGUUAUUCUCUCAUCUGUGGUUUUUCUUGUUUGGUGUCCUGCUCUGCAGAGGCUGUGCU